rnacentral:tRNA from 1 species
GGAAGGUGGCUCAGCGGUAGAGCGCUUGCCUCGCAUGCAUGAGGCCCUGGUUCGAUUCCUCAGCUCCA